rnacentral:rRNA from 1 species
AUUGAACGCUGGUGGCAUGCUUAACACAUGCAAGUCGCACGGCAGCAUGAUCUAGCUUGCUAGAUUGAUGGCGAGUGGCGGACGGGUGAGUAACGCGUAGGAAUCUGUCUUAAAGUUGGGGAUAACACGGGGAAACUCGUGCUAAUACCGCAUAAAGUUUACGAACCAAAGCUGGGGACCUUCGGGCCUGGCGCUUUGAGAUGAGCCUGCGUUGGAUUAGCUAGUUGGUGAGGUAAGGGCUCACCAAGGCUGCGAUCCAUAGCUGUUCUGAGAGGAAGAUCAGCCACACUGGGACUGAGACACGGCCCAGACUCCUACGGGAGGCAGCAGUGGGGAAUAUUGGACAAUGGGGGCAACCCUGAUCCAGCAAUGCCACGUGUGUGAAGAAGGCCUUUAGGGUUGUAAAGCACUUUCAGGAAGGAGGAAAGGUAUU